rnacentral:rRNA from 1 species
UGCGUAGGGUGCGAGCGUUGUUCGGAAUUACUGGGCGUAAAGAGUGUGUAGGCGGUGCUCUAAGUUCGGUGUGAAAUCUCCUGGCUCAACUGGGAGGGUGCGCCGGAAACUGGAGUGCUUGAGCGUGGGAGAGGAAAGCGGAAUUCCUGGUGUAGCGGUGAAAUGCGUAGAUAUCAGGAGGAACACCUGUGGUGUAGACGGCUUUCUGGACCAUAGCUGACGCUGAGACACGAAAGCGUGGGUAGCAAACAGG